UAAAACCUUUUUAUCGCCAGCAAUGAUGUGAAAUUGCGACGGUUUAAAAAAUGUUUGGACUCUGCCAUUUUUGUUAGUUUUCUAUCUUUGUUUUGAUAAGACCUUUAGCCUAUGGGUAAUCGAAAUUAUUUAUAACGGUUUUAAAGCAAUCAUUCCUUACUGCAGUGUAUUUAUAACGUCAAUAACAGAAAUUAUCAAGGCAAGGACAGAGAACUUUGCUGUUAUUGUUCAUAAAUUUAGAAAUUAUUUUUUUCCUGCGUUUGUAAAUAAACAUACAAUAAAAUAAAAGCAACAACAAGCGUCAAAACACCCUGCCCUGCCCUGAUAACAUGACAAACAUAACAAAUAUUGAAAAGGCACGAUUGAGACCGACAUUCAUACCUCAAGAAGCCUAUCAUUUAUUUUUGCAUUAUUAUUGUUGUUAUUAUUGCUAAUGGCGAUUCCUGGAAAUCGACCAUUUGUGCUAAGUAAAAGAGUAAUAAAAUCGAAUGUGCGCAGAAUUUGCAAUUUAUUCUUUUUUACUACAAUUCUAUUUACAAUAUAUUUGUUUUUGUUGUUUCUGUGAAAAUUUCUCGCAUGUGAAAAUGCUCAACUCUUGACAAUCCAACUUGGAUCAAUUUGUGCAGAAAUUCACCUGCAAUCGAUUGACAGCCAGCGGGCGAACCGCCGAACGCAUUGCGAGCCGCACUUGUUUGCGCAUGCGCAGCAAAUUAUGUGACUAUAGUGGCAACAACAACAGCAACGUAUAUUAUUGUCAUCAGUAGUAUGCAAUCGGCAAUUGGCAAUCGACAGUCGUCGGCCACCGUUGUACGCAGCGCUGCGCUGGUGAGGCGGUUGCAGCAAGUGGUUGGUGGUUUGUGGCGGUGCUACUGUUCGGUCUAGUCUUGUCGAUUUCUUUGCAUGCAGGCAUGUGUGUGUGUGUGUGUGCACGCACGUUUGGGCGGUUAUUUAAUAUGCAGCGUGUGGCGUGGCAGGAGCGACAACAACAAUGGCAAAUUGGAGCACGUGCAAAUUACAAAUUGUUUAUUGCAUUUAUGAGACAUUGGAGCAUGACAAAAACCAACAACACUAAGUACAACAACAAAUUAAAUGAAACUGCCACAACUUCAAACAGGCGGUCUAAGAUUAAUGAUCGUGCGCGAAGUUCCAGCAAAAAAACACCACAUAACUACAUAAGUAUGGGCAUAAUCGUACACAGUACAUAUUAGGUGAAUGGUUUGAAUGGCAAAACUGCAUUAUUGAAAUGAUAUUGGUUGCUAAGCGUCGAACGUGAGCUUAGCAAUUACUCUACACGACGCUAGACCCAGCUAGGUGCUCAGGUGUAGCCACACUCCAAAACUUCACUUGCACGAUUCGGUGCUUUGUUGGUUGGGUACUAUACCCACUAGAUAUAAUAUUAUAUACAUAUAUACAUGUGUAUAUAUGUAUUAGGCAGAUAUAUGUAUGUCUAUACAGCUGUACAUAUCUAGGUCUGCAGCUAUUUUAGCCGCUAACAAACAAUCGACAAACUGAAAAAUGAUUUAAUCAUUAACAGAAACAAAGCAGCCAUUCAACCAGACAACCGAAAUUAUUAGAAAAAACGCGUUCAAAUAACAGCGUCGAAGUCAAAAUUUUGAAAACAAAAAAAAAAAAAAAGAAAGACGCACACUAAUGAAGCAUCUUCAUGGCAAAAAGUGGGAGUGACACGCUUUAACUGCGGCCACACGAGUACAUUCAACAGAUGAUUUGUAUCUUUCUCACCAUCAUUUGUACAGACUGUUGUUGUACAUUUAGAGCACGUGUCUUACAGAUGAGCAACAUAAGAAAGAGAAGAUUAUUGUGCUUAAAAAAUUGUUGAUGAUGAUGAUUAUGCUUAAGAAAACUGAACUCUCAAAACAAUGUCUAAGGUUCAUGGAAAAUACAAAUACAAAACACUAAAAUGGUGAGAGGAGGAAGUAGUAGAAGAUCUAAAAAGUUUCACAGCAAAGCUGGAGAGAAAAAUUGUGCGGUAUGGCUAGAAGAAGUAGUAUAAAUGGAAAAACUAGAUCCAGUGUAUGAGAGCAGCCAAUAAUAAUACCAAAAGUAUUUCUAUACAAUUUUUUAAGAAAAGUUCAAAAUCAAGUUUUAAAAAACAUUUUUCUCAGAAUAUAACGGUUGAUCCAAGUGAGGUACUAAUAGAAGAUACGGCUUUUUUUCGUCAAACUGUUUUCAGCGAUGAGACCCAUUUCAGGUUCAAUGAGUAUAUAAAUAAACAAGCAAAAUCAUCGCAUUUGGGACGAAGUGCAACCUGAACAGUUAGUUUCAAGAGCUGUCAUUUCAUCCAGAAAAAGCAACGGUUCAGUGUGGUUUGUGGGUCGGUGGAAUCAGCGGUUCAUAUUUCUUCAAAAAUUAUUCCUGUGAGAACCUAACCUUCAUUGGCGACCGUUAUCGGCCCAUGAUAACCGACUGUUUGAUGCCUGAAAUGGAAGUUCGGGAUCUCGGCGACAUUUCGGUUCAACAAGACGGCGCCACUUCCAAAACAUCGCAUCAAUCAGUGGAUUUAUUGAGAGAACACUUCGGUGAGCAGAUAAUUUCACGUGUUGGGCCGGUCGAUUGGCUACCAAGAUCGAGUGAUAUCACACCGUUAGACUUUUUCUGUGAGAUAUGUAAAGUCUAUGCGAACAAUACCGCUUCGAUUCAGGCCUUGGGGCAAAACAUCAUGCUUGUCAUUCGCCAGUUACCAGUCGAAAUGCUCGAACGAGUCAUCGAAAAUUGGACUCAACGUUUUUAUUUUAAAAAAUUUAGUUUUUUCUACAAAUAUAUCAAUUAUUAACAUUUUCAUCAAUUAACAUUUAAAAAUUAAUAAUUUUAUUUUUAAUUUUCCACUCAAUUAUUUCUUCAUUAAACAUCAUUUACUUAUUUAAUUUAAAUUCAAACAAUUUAAUUCACUUUUUAAUUUCACUGCGCUUUAUUUAAAUCCCAUUAAAAUCUCAAUGCCAUGCGAAUUUGCGCAUUUUAUCUUAGUUAUCUACCGCCUCCCCAUUUUAUUUAAAUAUCUGCAGCCAAUUUUUAGCCGUCUAUUUGCACUUACAUACAUUUAUGUCUACACUGGUGGCCAUAAAUAUUCGACACUUUAAUUUAAUUAGCAAAUGAUCUCCAAACUCAGUUCAUUACAACAUUUCUGCUUUUUAUUAAAACACUGGUUCGUGGGCCAGUGAAAUCAUCGGUCCAUAUUUCUUUAAAAUGAUGUCGGAGAUAAGAUAACCCUCAAUGGCGACCGUUAUCGCGCCAUUAUAACCGACUAUAGAUGCCUGAAAUUAAAGCUCAUGAUCUCGCGACAUUUGGUUUGAAGAAGACCGCACCACUUCCUACACUUCGCAUCCAUCGAUGGAUUUAUUGAGAGACCACUUCAUGAGCAGAUAAUUUCGCGUUUUGAGCUGGUCGAUUGGCGACCAAGUUCGUGUGAUAUCACAUAGGUAGUAUUUUUCCUGUGGGAAUAUGUGAAGUCUAAAGUUCAUGUGGACAAUCCCGCUUCGAUUCAUGGCUUGGAGUAAAAUAUCAUGCGUGUCGUUUGCUAGUUACCAGUCGAAGUGCUCGAAUGAGCUAUCGAGAAUUGGAUCAACGGAUGCACCAUCUGAGACGUAGCCGCGGCCAACAUUGGAGAGUAAUAAUAUUCAAAAAAUAAAUGACAAUUCUUUUGAAUGAUAAUAAAUAUUCCCUAUUUAAUUUUGAA